CCCAACUAUCCCUAUUAAUCAUUACGUCGAUCCUAGAAACCAACAAAAUAGAAUCAAACGUCCUAUUUCAUUAUUCCAUGCUAAUGUAUUCAAGCGUGAGCCUGCUUUAAACACUCUAAUUUUUUCAAAGUAACAGUCCUGAUUCCCCACGACACCAAAUUAAUGACAUCGCGAUUCAUCAGAAAGGAGAAACCAAUAAUACCAGUACGUACCGAAGGCACGACCAGCAAAUUGAUCCCGAAAUUCAACUACGAGCUUUUUAACUGCAACAACUUUAAUAUACGCUAUUGGAGCUGGAAUUACCGCGGCUGCUGGCACCAGACUUGCCCUCCAA
rnacentral:misc_RNA from 1 species